CAAAUCCACAGAAAGAAAAUAGUUCUGUUACAUAUAUAUGAGAGAGAGAAAUGACGACAACCUUUAUGCUACAUGAUGAAAACUUAUGCCAGUUUUUGUCCAGUGUUAGCUGUAAGUGCAUGUGUUCUUCUGUGGAUGGCAUCUCAUCGGCAGCAGAAUGGACUGUGGGAUUCAUUUUAUUAGUUAACUGCCAGACACAAGACGUCUCCCACUUCACUGAAGAGCCCGUUCUCGGUGUAUUUGCUUUGGAGGCUUCAACUUUCCUCAUCACAGUUGUGCAAGUUGCUUUCUGGACCAUAAAAGGCUGUAGACUGGUUAGAAUACAAAACCCUGUUGGUAUGUCCAGGUGUUAAACUGGGAUUUAAGCUGAAAGAAGCUUUCUCUCUUCAACAGAUGAAUGUGAAAACAAAUUCGGCACAUCCAUCAUUCUGCACAGUGAAGCUCAUACAUCGCAAUGAGGUAGCUCAAAGAAAAACACAUUUCUGAGUUCAGCUUUUAGAGUUUCAUACACCAGCUAUACAAGGGGACAUCUGGAAUUAAUUUUAUCUGGAAACUAAAUUGAACCAUUUGGCAACGGACCUAGCCUGUGUGAAACACAGCCAUGAUUUGAUCAUGGCUAACCUGAUCUCAUUCCGAUUCCAAUCAGUCUUCAUGGAUUUGCACCUGAUAUUAAGACACCUUUCUCCUUCCUCGUACGAAAAAACAAAAUGCUAUCUUCUGCUAUAACUGAUUAACAUUUCAUUUGUGCUGGUGAAAACACAGACUAUAAAAUUGCACAUCAACACAAUGGUGAUGGAGCAAGAUUAUUCCCUAAACCUACCGGGAAUCUGUCUGCAGGCAAUCAGUAAGACAAAGAUUACCUGCAGUGCCCCAUGAAAGCUUAAAAAGACUCCACAGUGCAAGUAACAAACACUAUCAAUCCGCAAACUGUGUUUUGAAUUUUUUUUUACCACCUCUCAUAAUUUUCUGUUUCUGAGUCUUAAUUCCAGAAGACGCCUUCGACUUAUCAUCACUGAACAGCUCCCUGUAGUCACUACCCAGACCUAUCCAGCCUCAAGCACCAGCCACUGCUGACGUAUCCACCUCUACCUCUGCUGCAGCGCCAGAGAUCCAGCCUGGUUGACACCAUGACCGGAGAGCUAUGAUGGUGAUCCUGACACUUGCUCCUCUUUCUUUAACUACAACCGAGCUACGACCCCUGUCCUUUUCCACUGAACUCUCUGUUGUCUCUUACAUGUCAGUCAGUCACUUUUUCUGGGGCUUUCUGGGAAGACUUUUGGACAUUGUACUCCAAGUUGGGAUGCUGCUAGCAGGUUGUUGGUACUCUGGCAGGAGAUCAGCUGGGUGACCGACCAUGUCUUUGUCGGACACUUUUAAGCAUCAGCUUGCACAAAUAGACCCACCGCCUGACUUUGAUUCCCUUGUUGCUCUAGCUGUUAAAAUUAACAGCCAUCUUUUCGAAAGAAAAACGCAAAAAAAAAAACAACCUGAGAGGGAGGUUCCUGUCCACCGGGGUCAACCUGUUCCCUUGCCACAGCUUGACCAACCUCCAGGUGCUGCAGUUGGCACCAGGGGAGAGGUUUUGGCCCCCCUUGCCAGGAGGAAGGAAUUCAUGCAGCUAGGAUGCACCACCUUUCUCCAGAGGAACAUCAUGCUGCCUGAAGGAAGGGAGACGCAUCAACCACCAGCAACUUGGACAUUUCCUGCUUCCACAGUAAAAGGUUGGACUCAGCAGUGAAGGGGGAGCUUCUGAUGAAUCAAAAUUCAUCCUCUUCAUUCUCCUCCUGAACUCAAAUGCAUGAUCACCUGGUCUCUCCUACUACUUCCUUGGAAUUAGCAGUCUUUGUGAAGAGAACUUUAUGGAUCAAGGACUAGACCAUCAGUUCCAACUACAGUUGGAGCCACUACCCAGCCCAUUGGUUACCAAGGUCUUGGAUGGCUAUCUCUCCUGACAUGAGCUUCACUGGACUCCAGAUCCACCGGCUGAAUUUCCUCUGCCUAAACUUCCAUCUGCCAAGGAAAUGUCAGCGGUUAUGCUAUCUCAGGAAGGAUGAUUCCAUUUUUCCAGUGAUCUGAUUGGUCAGUAGUCACUCUGCCGGCAGGUUUUGAUCUGGAGCUGCUCAGGACCGGGUUAGGGUUAGGGCUGGGGCAGCACAGGUGGUACAGACAUUGGUGAUCUGUCUGCAUACAGGUCCGCCUCCCCCAGAUGCCCCAUGGCCCUGCCCAGACUGUGCAGAAAAUCCAUAAUCAGCUGUGGGCACAGAACAGCAUGCAAAGAAAAGAGGGGCAACACACAGCGAGGCUGCAGCACUAUCCCCAAGAUAAUCAGCGUGUGUACCCUCCCACUCCCACCUGGUGUAUCUCCUGACCUGCUCCUGGGGGGGCUGAUGCCUGAGUGAGCAGGUCACUGGGGACAAUGACCUGCUGUCCUGUUCCCCAUCAGCUCCCUUGUGUCACCACUGCUGUAGCAGCACAGGCUUCACUGACUGGUGAAAAGAGAGGCAUUAUCCCAAAGCACAGCCAAACAGAAGGACACCAGGGAGCUACUGAACUGGCAGAAAACUCCAUGUGUGUUGUCCAAGGGGAAAAAAAAAAAAAAACAUUCGCUCAGCUAUCAAAUAUGAUGAGAAGUUCAUGGCCGACCUUAACAGUCCACUAUCUGCUGUUGACAUAAUUGUGUGUUUCGGUCAGCAAAAAAAAAAAUGGCAUUCCAGGGGACCUGGGACAGGGACAGCAAGUGAGUAUGUAAAAACCAUGAUAAUACCCAUUGUUUUCAUAUCUUUAAUUCAACAUAUUGUGUGAAUUACAACAUUACAUCCAUCUGUCUAAUGGUCUGUUGAAGCAUGGACUCCACAACAAAUUUCAGAUUAUCUGUGCAGCAGUGUCUUUGAGUGUCAGGGUUUUGGGGAAUAACAUUAAACUGGAUGAAGCAUAUGAGGAGUUAGUUUGUUCAGCUUUUUAAUCUUUUACUGCCCGAUAGAGAAGCUUAAAAUUGAAAUUCAGGGAGAGCGAAGGCCAAAAUAACAAACCGACCUGCCCUGACUACCACAGCAUCAAAUACAAAGGUUACAGGUCACAGAGAUAGGAGGAAAAAAGACAGCUGUCCCUUGCAGGACUUCCUAGCAAAUACUCCAAGGUAGGAGUUACAAUACAAAAAAAUAAACUACCUAAGAUAAUUAAUUGAUUAACCGAUAUCAUUAACCUGGCAACCACAAACCCCAGAGCCAUGGACCAAGUCUUGAGAUCAUAGCUCACAAUAGACAGACACCAGAGUGUAAGCUGGCAACAGAAAGUGGUCAGCGAGUGCAGCUCCUCAGCCCCUGCUGUGUGUGAUGAGGAGCAACACAGCAUUAUGUGAUAUAACACUUUCACUUAUAGCUAUCCUAACCACGUUUUAUGGUCUAGAAUUGAAUUUUUUUUUUUUAAAAACGUACAACCGUUGACAUUUUCCCCCUUUUAUUUUAUAUAUUUGUUUGUUUUGUUUUUAUAUUUAUUUUUUGCCCAUUAGUAUUUUGUAUAAUUUCCACACAGAAAGGAUGUCGGUGUGUACCUCUUGCAGCAGGAAGGUCUAGACACGACUGAGGCUGUUUUCAUCCUCAGCAUGAAUAAAACACCGUAUUCAACAAACAGCAGCAAUUUAGAGGCGUCCUUCAUCUGCCAAAUGUCAUUGAAACAGACACAAAACGACCACAUUUUAAACCCAAAGCAUCUCUGCUUGCAUUUCUCACUCACAGAUCAUUAAUUGCGACUGCAGGCUGCUGUUUAUUUAUUUAUUUCAUGACACAGUCGGAGCACAGUUUCUUUGAGCUGUCAUUCCCAGAGAAAAUGUAUGGCUUUACAGCCGAUACCUGUUCCUUUCGGAUCUGCUCAGGGCGUCUUUAUUUCCAUUUUCAUUUCAGGGUGUAAAUUAUCAUUUGGCAUUUUAUCAAGCAUUAUAUUUUCUUAAAAUUUUCUGGGAUACAUUAUUUCUUUUACUAAAGAAACCUGCCCAGAUUGACAGCGUAAGAUAGGGAUCACACGGCUUCAGACGAGACACAUAUAGCUUGGCAAAACAGGACCUGAGAGACACGAGAAAAAUAAAACGUGACUAUUUCAAACAAUUAUAUUCCUCAUAAAAUGUUGUAAACUCAGGGUGCACAGUAGAAAAAAAAACACAGCCUCAGUGUAACAUUAAUGCUGUACACCUAGGCGAUGUUUAGCACAUACAUGGGUGCCAGUACCUUUAUAAUUGCAAGGUGCAAUGUAAAACCCCCUUAUAGUUCAGGUGGAUUUAAGCACUGAAAUGUGUAAGGUAAGUUCCACUGCUGCAUUAAAAAUGUUACUUAGCUGAACAUGGGUUAAAUUCUUUGCUCAGAAUCACUGGAUGAGAUUUGACUGAGUUAAGUGAACUUCACAAAACAAGUUCAAUAGACUCAAGAGGGAAAGUUGAAUUGUUUAUUGACAGUCAGUUCUUCAUUUACCUUAACUUAUUGCUCCAACUGUUUAAGCCAUUUUCUACCUGUUAGUAUAAAGACAAUGUCCAAGGUUACUACCAGUGAGUUUAUUAAAUUUUAAGUGUUACAGGUGUAGGGACCAGCGGUGGGCGAUGAUCUACAGUGAAACAUUGUGGACAAGCUCCUACCCCAGGGCACUAGAUAAAAAGUUAAUGGGAGCAGACUCACAUGUCAGCAUUGUGCUAACUCAAGUACAAAAGACAACAUUAGUAGUGACAGCUCAGGGAUAGUUGAGACUUUUAACUGGAGACAUUUUGUUUUCUAAAGAUACUGACACAUGCAAAGCAGGGAUCAUUGUUGUUGUGAGUAAGGAGAGAGGAGAGCGGUUUGUCGUGCCGUAACUGUGAGUCCUGUGUCAUGGAUGCCACCAUCUCCUUCAUGCUUGGUGAUUUGCAAAGCUUUAGUUUCAAGAGUUUGGUAUGCACAAAAGCACAGAUGUGUGUGUGUGGUUAUUUUGGAGAGGCUUUGCAGUUAGCUGCACAUGAUUUAAUCAAAGCACCCACAGUUCAGCAUGUUUAAUGAUGCAUUUACUUCUGCCACGCUGUAAGUAAAUUAUUCAUGGAUUAAUGAAUGAAGUGAAACCCAGUAGCAGGUAAGCAGAGGUAGAAUGUAACUGCACAUUUACUCAAGUGCAUGUACUUGAGUAUUUCCAUUUUAUGCUUCUUAAUGUUUCAU